rnacentral:rRNA from 1 species
UACGUAGGGCGCAAGCGUUAUCCGGAAUUAUUGGGCGUAAAGAGCUCGUAGGCGGUUUGUCGCGUCUGCCGUGAAAGUCCGGGGCUCAACUCCGGAUCUGCGGUGGGUACGGGCAGACUAGAGUGAUGUAGGGGAGACUGGAAUUCCUGGUGUAGCGGUGAAAUGCGCAGAUAUCGGGAGGAACACCGGUGGCGAAGGCGGCUCUCUGGACCACUACUGACGCUGAGGCGCGAAAGCUAGGGGAGCAAACGGG